CAGUCUGCAACUCGACUGCACGAAGUCGGAAUUGCUAGUAAUCGCGGAUCAGCAUGCCGCGGUGAAUACGUUCCCGGGCCUUGUACACACCGCCCGUCACACCAUGAGAGUCGGGAACACCCGAAGUCCGUAGUCUAACCGCAAGGAGGACGCGGCCGAAGGUGGGCUUGAUAAUUGGGGUGAAGUCGUAACAAGGUAAC
rnacentral:rRNA from 1 species